AUAGCGGGAAAGUCACAACGGGGCCUAAUGUUUGACUUUGGACAAGUCAAUGGGUAUUUCAGGUAUCAGGUGGUUAUUUAGAUUACCAGGUUAUGAAAAUAAAUAAUUGGAGAUAUAUUUGAGGUUAGGAAGUCUAGGUGGGAAUAUUGAGGAAUUUUACCAUUUUGCCCUCGGGGACGUUUCCGGUACCCCGAGCCUUGGGAUUAACUUAAUUGCUUAAUGAUAGACUUAAGAAGAUUUUAGAAAACUGUGGAAUAUAGCAAACCGACCCUCUCUUCCUUUCUCUCUUUCUCUCCCAAAGAAAAACACAGAAACUUAGUGGUCUUGGCUGGAAUUCUAAGAAUUGAAGCUGGAGUUUAGAGGAUUAGCUCAAGGGUUAUCAAAGGAACUUAACCAAGGUUGAGAUUAAAUUGAGGCUGGAACCUUGGAAGUUAGGCAAGAAAGCUCUUGGAGGAUUGGUUCUGCAGCUGAGGUGCUAAGCUAGGGCUCAGGAAUCGGAUCGCGCUCAAGGAGCAUCGCUCAUAACUAGUUCACUUGGAAGCCAAAGGUAAGAAAACUGCACCUGGUUGUGUAUUUGUAAUAGGACUAAGGGUUCCCUAAUAUGUAUGCUUUGAAAAGGAUGGUAUUAUGUCAUGUAAAUAGUAAACCAACGACCUAAGAGUGUCAAAGGUUACAAUUGCGCACAGGGCGCGGCUCGGCCACUGGUAGCCGAGGACAGCUUAUUAUGCACUGAGCUCGAUUUAAGCAGGCCAGAGUCAGUGGGGUAAACAGAGGGUGCGGCCUAAGUUGUCGGUCCUAGUUAUUGUGUGAUUCGACUGUUAUUAAUGAUUGGUAGUAUCGUUGAUUCUGAUUACAUGCUAUGUGGUUAAUGUGGAAUGUUAAGUGUUUGAUCAUGCUUAAUGAAUUAUACUCUUGUUAUGAUU